rnacentral:rRNA from 1 species
UACAGAGGGGGCAAGCGUUGUUCGGAAUUACUGGGCGUAAAGGGCGCGUAGGCGGCCUGCUAAGUCGAACGUGAAAUCCCUGGGCUCAACCCAGGAACUGCGUCCGAUAUUGGUUGGCUUGAAUCCGGGAGAGGGAUGUGGAAUUCCAGGUGUAGCAGUGAAAUGCGUAGAUAUCUGGAGGAACACCGGUGGCGAAGGCGACAUCCUGGACCGGUAUUGACGCUGAGGCGCGAAAGCCAGGGGAGCAAACGGG